rnacentral:rRNA from 1 species
CCUACGGGCGGCAGCAGUGAGGAAUAUUGGUCAAUGGACGAGAGUCUGAACCAGCCAAGUAGCGUGAAGGAUGACUGCCCUAUGGGUUGUAAACUUCUUUUAUAAAGGAAUAAAACGAGGCACGGGUGCCUUUUUGCAUGUACUUUAUGAAUAAGGAUCGGCUAACUCCGUGCCAGCAGCCGCGGUAAUACGGAGGAUCCGAGCGUUAUCCGGAUUUAUUGGGUUUAAAGGGAGCGUAGAUGGGUUGUUAAGUCAGUUGUGAAAGUUUGCGGCUCAACCGUAAAAUUGCAAUUGAUACUGGCAGUCGUGAGUACAGUUGAGGUAGGCGGAAUUCGUGGUGUAGCGGUGAAAUGCUUAGAUAUCACGAAGAACCCCGAUUGCGAAGGCAGCUUACUAAACUGUGACUGACAUUGAUGCUCGAAAGUGUGGGUAUCAAACAGGAUUAGAUACCCGAGUAGUC